AAUGGAAACUUUAACAUAGGCUUGGGGAUGAAAAAAAUUCAAGCAACGAUUAUAAAGUGCAAGAAAAAAGAAGUGAUGCCAUGCAGAACACCUACAAAGGCGUAGCUUAUGACUAAAUAGUUAUACCAGCAAAAUCGCUUCAAUGGAAAAUGAACAAUUUAAUCGAUAAGAGCUUUUCAGAAGAAGGCGCUAUACGAGAAAUGAUCAACAAAAUGAUAAAAUUACUUAUCAAAACAAAAAACAAAAAAGUUCAUCAAAAUAACUUCAAAAUAUGUGAUCUAUAUCUAACCUAAUAGACAUUACACACACACACACAGGCGGAUGGACAAAUGGACGGACACGAUUAAAUUGAUUUAGAAAUUGAUUUAUCGCAGGUCACUUUAGAUGUUGCAUAUGUUGAAAGUAAUUUAAAUUAACCCUCUGUGGAAUAUAAGAAGUUAAAGCAAAUUAAUAGACGAUCCGAGCUCUCAAAAUUUACAAAUAAAAAUAAAAAGGAUGCUUGAUUUUUGACUUAAUUUAAUGUAUUAAGAUCUUACGUGGCCCGAUUACCCACGGAUUGAACAAGUAGAAGAAAGAUGAAGCAAUCUUCGCUAUUUGAACUCCGUCCCUCUUCCGGUCACAUCACUGUCAAAACGAUAUUCUGGGUAUGGGUGGGUUCCUCGCCUAGGAUAUCCUUCCGGUAGACUUCUAGAUACUAUGGAGCCCGAAUCGGCAAGCAAUGUUUUUCCACCAGCAAGACUUCACCGAUUUCUGAUUGGAAAACUUUUCAGAGAAUUUUGUAAAUCGCACCCAUACUCUUGUUGGACGCAGGCGCACCAGAUAAAUGAUACGAUUUUCACUAUCCGCUCUAUUCACAACGUUUUCACGGGAAAAGCUGCUAUGAGCUGAUGACCUAAUACCGGAUGAUGAAGAAAAUACCGUGAAGGCAUAUAGCAACAACAAAGGGCCGGAAGACAGACAGACAGACAGACAGACAGUCAGACGGAUGGUUUUCGUUGAAUAGACUGGAAAUUCUAUGCCGAUCAAGAAUUGUUGUUUUAUAACACAGAUCCUUUUUCCGCAUUUCCAAGCAUUUCAGAAAGCGAGAAGAAAAUCCCCAUACUUUGGUUCGGUUCAAUAAUAAAAAUAAAACUUAAUCGAACGCUUGCAUUAAGCCAAAUGCCUUAAGGUAACGAUUACGAAUGAUACGAAUUAGCGAGGUUUCUCAUUACUUAAAUUAAAUUGAAUCGUCCUCCUGCCGAAUAUUAAAAAAUAUGUUAAAAAGGCUAAGAAUAAGAAGAUAAGGACAGGAAAAAAAUGAAAUUGUAAAUCAUGUAUUCGGACAGAACGAAUAACAUAUUAAUCAAGCAAGCAUUCGUUAUAUGAAAAGAGUCAAAAGGA